GGGCCAGUAGCUCAGUGGUAGAGCAGGAGCCUUUUAAGCUCCGUGUCGUGGGUUCGAUCCCCACCUGGCCCUCCA
rnacentral:tRNA from 1 species